rnacentral:lncRNA from 1 species
AAAAAAAGUAGGAAACUCCGGAUUGUAAAUACAAGAGUAAUGUUCUGGCUUCAUGGUGACACCGUGAAUUUGCUAAAAUUGAUGAACAGCAGAUGUCCUGAAACUUGUGAAAACAUCUGCAACAAUCCCUUGAAGAGUUUGGAACCGUUUGGAACUCCUUAGAGUUCCCAAAAGCUCUGUAACUUGCUGCAGAGUUCAGACUGAGAAGAAAAUGGGAUAGAGAUGUCAUAGAGAAAUUUUUGAUCAUUUCCAGUUUCUACUGAAGUCAGAACUGAAGCCUGUGGGAGUGAGGGGAUGUGAAUGGUCUGUACUGUGAGACAGAUGUGCACAGCCAUGCAAGUGGGACUCAGAAGAUUUCAGACGGCCUUGUUCUGCCUCCAAGAGGCCAGAGAGCCACCCAAGGUCAGUUCGCUGCAAGAAUCAGGGCUGAUCAUGCAGGAUGUUUCCUGGCCACAGAACUCCCAGAGUUGCCUGUGAGGUUACCCAAACAAGCACUUUUCACCCAUAGUGAGAAAUUACAAGAUGUG